UACGAAGGGUGCAAGCGUUAAUCGGAAUUACUGGGCGUAAAGCGCACGUAGGCGGAUUGGUCAGUUAGGGGUGAAAUCCUGGAGCUCAACUCCAGAACUGCCUUUAAUACUGCCAGUCUCGAGUCCGGAAGAGGUAAGUGGAACUCCUAGUGUAGAGGUGGAAUUCGUAGAUAUUAGGAAGAACACCAGUGGCGAAGGCGGCUUACUGGUCCGGUACUGACGCUGAGGUGCGAAAGCGUGGG
rnacentral:rRNA from 1 species